UGAAUCUCUCCUUCCACCCCAUCCUCUCUGACCGCUCCCCACACACCGCUGAGGGUGUACAGGUUACUGUGAAAAAAAGCCACAAGUAAGAAAGAAGACAAAUCUCUUCUAGAAAGGAGAUGCUGAUCUUUUGCAGUUAAUGAGUCCCCACGCAGCUGGACAGCUCCUCUCGGACACUGAGAACUCUAACCCCAAAAUGACCCCAAUUUGACACCGCAAGAUGAAAUUUUACCGCCUGUUAAAACCAUUUCCAGCCUGGGCAAAAGGAACUGACUGUUGACGGAGGUGUGUGCCGCCUUCUGCAACCCCCAUCUAAUGCCUGUCUCCCCAGCCUGCCCCACCUACUCUUCCUUUACCCCAAAUGUGGGAGAGCAGAUGAGCCUCGAAGCCCCGGUGGGGGUGCAGAGGCUGAGAAUGGAGCAGCAGCAUACUAUCUGCCUAGACAAUCAGAAAGCUUGUGCACCCCACUGCUUUGGAAUAGCUUCUAUCGGACUGCAAAAUUGAGGGUUAGCGGAGCUCAUGAAGUUCUUAAGUGUUUUUCAUUUCUAUUAACAAAACAUCAGCAAGUUGGUGAUUAAAAGCAACAGUCUUUUGAAUUCAUCAGAUUGACCAAGAAUCGACAUCGUGAAUCACCUCCAACUUGAUCUGUGUGUAAUUCACUGCAUUUCGAUGCUACUUUAAACUAACAGUUUCGUAAAUUACAUGCACCUAGGUAAGUGAAAUCUCUUUAGUCGCAUGAAAUUUGGGGUUCUCCCCUUAAGCAACUGGCGAAGUUUUAAAUGACAGAUUUUUCCUCCAGGAGGACCUCACUUGUAACUAAGGUCUUUGGAGUUCAUGAUGAUUGUUUGCUUGUUUUUUUUUCUUUUAACGGUAUCUCAAAAUGUCCUAUUUCUCUCUCCCUCCCACAUCUAACCAGACUGCCCCAGUUACUUGCUUUAAUAUAUUCAAUAAAAUGUAAAAGAAGUUAUGGAAUAUUAGAGAAAGAGAGAAAGAAAGAAAGGAAUUUAGGUUAAAAUGCCUUCUGCAUUGCCCAAAGGAUGAAAACACAUGAAAACAGAGUUCAAUUCUUUUUCUCUUGUAAAGCUCAAGAUUAUCAUGGAAUAACCAACCCAUUACCAGCUGAACAACUGUUUGAAAAUAUAGAAAUCAUCGCUUGGUCUGAAUUGUUUUUACUCAGAUGCACUGUCAUGGAAGCAUUAAAAAAAAAAAACCUACUAAUAUACCUUUUUUAAAUGAGGGCUGUAGGAAUGCUACCUCACUUCACAGUAUCAUUAUGAAAAGAAGCAAUGGUUAAAAAAAAAAAAAAGCAGAAGGUAGCACGUUUGAACGUUUAAACUCUGCGAUGCAGAGCUUCGAAGUUGAUUUUUACAAAAGGGGGUUUAUCAAGGAAAUUGAUUUUCUUUUUAAAAAGAAAAGUAAUUGGCGCUUACUAUACAAGAUAUUUAAAACAACAGUAAUCCUAUUGGCGACAACAAAUACGCAAUAUUGAAAAAAAAAAAAAGAAGAAACAGUUAGAAGAGUAACAGCUGAAAAACUGAGUAACAGCUUAGCUAGCGGCAUUGCAAGAGGACCAUGGAUCCACCAAUAUAGAGACCUUUGCAAAGUCGAAAAUGCUCCGCAGCGAGACCAGUUUGGUUUUUUUCCUCUCUCAUCCUUCCUGCCCUGGCUAAACUGAAUUCGCAUAAUUGUUUCUUGUAAUAAAAUUCUGGAAGUCAAA